rnacentral:sRNA from 2 species
AUAUUGGUAGCGCUGAAUCAAUUUGAACGGGAGAACCAAUUAUUGGGGUUAAUCUUAUCAGUAUGAUAAGUAGGGUUAAUUUUCUUCAAUCCGAAUCCGUCAGCUAAUCUCGUAAGCGUUGAAGAGAAGUUUU